UGAGCAGUACUAAGAUCGACAUUAAUAAAAUCAGCAGCGUCAGACUCGUGAAGAAAUCGAAGCUCCUCAACUCCAUUAUCGGCGCUAAACCUAGCAACCACUGGAGAAGCUAAAGAAGAAGAAGGAGAUGAAGGAUACAGAUCAGUUAUCGAUGCCAAAGCAAACUGUUGAUGUUUGUUCUGUUUUUGGCCUGCUGAAACCUCCAUUACUGCCUCCUCCAAGCUGAAUCCAAAAAGCGCGAAGCUUGAGAUAGAAAGAGAGGAGCGCUUACG
rnacentral:misc_RNA from 1 species